UACGUAGGGGGCGAGCGUUGUCCGGAUUUAUUGGGCGUAAAGAGCUCGUAGGCGGCUUGGCAAGUCGGGUGUGAAACCUCCAGGCUCAACCUGGAGACGCCACUCGAUACUGCCAUGGCUAGAGUCCGGUAGGGGACCACGGAAUUCCUGGUGUAGCGGUGAAAUGCGCAGAUAUCAGGAAGAACACCCGUGGCGAAAGCGGCUCUCUGGAACGGUACUGACGCUGAGACGCGAAAGCGUGGGGAGCGAACAGG
rnacentral:rRNA from 1 species